rnacentral:rRNA from 1 species
UACAGAGGGUGCAAGCGUUGUUCGGAAUUAUUGGGCGUAAAGGGCGUGUAGGCGGUCUGCUAAGUCAUGUGUGAAAUCCCUCGGCUUAACCGAGGAACGACGCAUGAAACUGGCAAGCUAGAGUACCAAAGAGGGGGGUGGAAUUCCCGGUGUAGCGGUGAAAUGCGUAGAUAUCGGGAGGAAUACCAGUGGCGAAGGCGGCUUCCUGGCCUGUUCUUGACGCUGAGGCGCGAAAGCUGGGGGAGCAAACGGG